rnacentral:rRNA from 1 species
UGCAGUCGAACGAGGUAGCAAUACCUAGUGGCGCACGGGUGAGUAACGCGUGGAUAAUCUGCCCUUCACUGGGGAAUAACUAAUCGAAAGGUUAGCUAAUACCGCAUGAGGCCACAGUUUCUGAGGAAGCAGUGGUUAAAGAUUUAUUGGUGAAGGAUGAGUCUGCGUGGGAUUAGCUAGUUGGUGAGGUAAUGGCUCACCAAGGCUACGAUCUCUAACAGGUCUGAGAGGAUGACCUGUCACACUGGAACUGAGACACGGUCCAGACUCCUACGGGAGGCAGCAGUAGGGAAUAUUGCGCAAUGGACGAAAGUCUGACGCAGCGACGCCGCGUGAGUGAUGAAGGCCUUAGGGUCGUAAAGCUCUGUUGCAGGGGAAGAAAAAAAUGACGGUACCCUGCGAGAAAGGAUCGGCUAACUUCGUGCCAGCAGCCGCGGUAAGACGAGGGAUCCUAGCGUUGUUCGGAAUCAUUGGGCGUAAAGCGCAUGUAGGCUGCCAUUCAAGUCAGUUGUGAAAGCCCCGGGCUCAACCCGGGAAGUGCUUCUGAUACUGUUUGGCUUGAGUACUAGAGAGGAUAGUAGAAUUCCAGGUGUAGUGGUGAAAUACGUAGAUAUCUGGAGGAAUACCG